AAUUGAUAUAUAGUUAUAGGUUAUGAAUUAAAAGGGAAGUCAGGUGAAAAUCCUGCACGGUCUCGCCGCUGUAAAAGAGGAGUCUUUAUAUAAUACCACUGGGAAACUGGGAAGGUUAUAAAGGCGAUGAUACUUAAGUCAGAAUACCUGCCUAUAAUAAUACACAAUU
rnacentral:ncRNA from 2 species